AAAUUUCCCCAAAUACCAAAAAUUCCUUGGUAAAUUGUACCACAAGCUGCGGACCCGCGGCCUGUACCAAUGGUACGUUGCUUGUACUGUACGUGGUGUGUACUGAAAAGUUUUGAUUUGAUUUGAUAAAGUUAUUGUUGAAAAAAAAAAUACAACAAAGGAGAUGGAAGGAGCCGGCCACCCAUCCUCCAAACAAAUGUUCAUAGAAAACUAAUGUAUUGCAGUACAAAAAUAGAUAACCCUAAGUAUAUUUACAUUAUUUACAAAGGUGGAGCAAAAAGUGGGAAAUCCUUGAGGAUGGCAGGGAUGAUGUCAUUGUUGAAGAACCAGCUUAUCAUUGGUGGCAGGUCCCAGUUCCCCUGUGGGCGGAAACGCACCAGCAAGGGACAGUGACUGGGACACUCCAUGACAUGAUAGUGGGCAAGUGUGUGCCCUGCAGGACUGUACUGAAAAGUGAAGACACGUACGUGUCAAGGCCUCUUAUAACCGGCAGGCGCAUCAUAUUACGUGAUAUGUGUAACGUAUAAGACAAGUGAGAUUCAAAGCAAGAUCUAUGGAUGACAACUGCUCUCCCC